UACGAAGGGGGCUAGCGUUGCCCGGAAUUACUGGGCGUAAAGAGCACGUAGGCGGCUUUUUAAGUCAGGGGUGAAAUCCUGGAGUUCAACUCCAGAACUGCCUUUGAUACUGAGAAGCUUGAGUCCGGAAGAGGUGAGUGGAACUCCGAGUGUAGAGGUGAAAUUCGUAGAUAUUCGGAAGAACACCAGUGGCGAAGGCGGCUCACUGGUCCGGUACUGACGCUGAGGUGCGAAAGCGUGGGGAGCAAACCGG
rnacentral:rRNA from 1 species